GACGAACGCUGGCGGCGUGCUUAACACAUGCCAGUCGAACGGUGAAGCAGAGCUUGCUCUGUGGAUCAGUGGCGAACGGGUGAGUAACACGUGAGUAACCUGCCCUUGACUCUGGGAUAAGCGUUGGAAACGACGUCUAAUACCGGAUACGAGCUGAGACCGCAUGGUCAUCAGUUGGAAAGAUUUUUUGGUCAAGGAUGGACUCGCGGCCUAUCAGCUUGUUGGUGAGGUAAUGGCUCACCAAGGCGACGACGGGUAGCCGGCCUGAGAGGGUGACCGGCCACACUGGGACUGAGACACGGCCCAGACUCCUACGGGAGGCAGCAGUGGGGAAUAUUGCACAAUGGGCGCAAGCCUGAUGCAGCAACGCCGCGUGAGGGAUGACGGCCUUCGGGUUGUAAACCUCUUUUAGUAGGGAAGAAGCGAAAGUGACGGUACCUGCAGAAAAAGCACCGGCUAACUACGUG
rnacentral:rRNA from 1 species